GAUGAAGAACGUAGCGAAAUGCGAUAAGUAAUGUGAAUUGCAGAAUUCAGUGAAUCAUCGAAUCUUUGAACGCACAUUGCGCCCCCUGGUAUUCCGGGGGGCAUGCCUGUCCGAGCGUCAUUACAACCCUCAAGCUCAGCUUGGUGUUGGGCCCCGUCGCCCCGGCGGGCCCUAAAGUCAGUGGCGGUGCCGUCCGGCUCCGAGCGUAGUAAUUCUUCUCGCUCUGGAGGUCCGGUCGUGUGCUCGCCAGCAACCCCCAAUUUUUUUCAGGUUGACCUCGGAUCAGGUAGGGAUACCCGCUGAACUUAAGCAUAUCAAUAAGCGGAGGA
rnacentral:misc_RNA from 1 species